UUUUGCACUACCCUACCUGAGGUCCGUGUCGUCUCAUACCACAAAUGGCGCCCGACAUGGGGCUUCAAAAACAGGAACAUGAAAAACAGGGACAUGACAAACAGGAACAAUGAAUCCGGUGGCAUAGCCCAGCUGAACUUCAGGACGGUUGACAAUUGAGCGCUCUCAUCACCACCGCUGGACGGCAGAUUCAGCAGAGAACUGAAACCCACCCAAGGAUUCAGGCAGGCUCAAUCCUGCCCUGAGGUAGGAAAGUGAAGACAACUGGUGAGAAGCUGGCCAAAGAAAAGCCAAGUAUUCAUGAAGUCAUCAAGUACCAUAUUAGACCAAAGGAGGAAGUGGCUCUGAAUGUUUACUUCUCCCCCAUAGAGGCAAAAAGGCUGGCUGAGCAACGGAGGGACACAACAGACAAGCACUGGGAAGAAGGGCAGUGUCCGGAGACAGAAGGAGAAGCAGCAGUGACUGUCAGCCAUGCCAGAACACAGGAAUCUUUGUUCUGUUGAAGUAAAUCAAAUCCCCCCACUGAUGUGGAUCCUUCCUGGAUGCGGUGCGAACUUUGCCAUUUGUAGCAUGUGAGCAUUAGAGAGGCCUGAAGGCAACACCUCAGGAGUCAGGGCUUGGGUGUCAGUCCCUGCUGCAAGGACAGCUCUCUCCCAAGGUCCUGCCAUGACUAUUUGGCUGCAGCUGUGGUGGCUUGGCCUAGGGAUCUCCUGCUUCCUGUUGGUCCCUGACAGAGCCAUGGAGAGGGCCCUGCCAUGGCCAGCACAUGCCCUGGUGGCAAGGGGACUCUGGGGAGAGGAGGGAAGAGCUGGUUUAGCCUUCUCUAGUGGUGAGAGAGAGAGAGAGAGGUAUAUAUAGGUAUACACACACAUCCCCAAUGCCCCCCCCCCCCCAAAAAAACCCUUGUCCUGUCAAAACACUCUUUCUUCCAUGGAAGCUCAUCUACAGGAAUAUUUAAACCAAACAAGAAGACCCUCACUUUCUUCCUCCAUCCACCAUAUUCAGACAAAGUCUCAAAACCAAAUAAACAAUAUUGCUCCUGGUAAGCAUGUGAUUACAUUCAAAAAUGCAAAUGUUAGGCAAUAGAUUUGCGCACAUUCAAGCAAGUGGAAAAAGCUGUAGAGGAACAAAUCACAGUGUUAGGCGAAUAAAAAAUACUG